rnacentral:misc_RNA from 1 species
AACGCACAUUGCACCGUCUGGAAUCCCGGACGGUAUAUCUGUUUGAGUAUAGUAUCUAAAUCAUCAACUAUGAGUGUGCAAACACUUAAUGGGAGAUGGAAUUGGGAUCUUGCGGUUUGCCGCAUAUCCUUAAAUGUAGCAAAACACUCUUAAGCAGUCCGUAAGGAAUGCCACAAGAUUUUGUUCUGCACCACUUACUUGAAGCUUUUCGUAAGCUUUGAAACCCUAUCUCAAAUUAGAUAAGACCACCCGCUGAACUUAA